GUGGCCCUACGGGGGGCAGCAGUGGGGAAUAUUGGGCAAUGGGCGCAAGCCUGACCCAGCAACGCCGCGUGAAGGAAGAAGGCUUUCGGGUUGUAAACUUCUUUUCUCAGGGACGAAGAAAGUGACGGUACCUGAGGAAUAAGCCACGGCUAACUACGUGCCAGCAGCCGCGGUAAUACGUAGGUGGCAAGCGUUAUCCGGAUUUAUGGGGUGUAAAGGGCGUGUAGGCGGGAGCGCAAGGCAGAUGUGAAAACUCAGGG
rnacentral:rRNA from 1 species